UACGGGGGGGGCAAGCGUUGUUCGGAAUUACUGGGCGUAAAGGGCUCGUAGGUGGCCAACUAAGUCAGACGUGAAAUCCCUCAGCUUAACUGGGGAACUGCGUCUGAUACUGGAUGGCUUGAGUUUGGGAGAGGGAUGCGGAAUUCCAGGUGUAGCGGUGAAAUGCGCAGAUAUCAGGAGGAACACCGAUGGCGAAGGCAGCUCACUGGGACGGUACUGACGCUGAGGCGCGAAAGCGUGGGGAGCAAACAGG
rnacentral:rRNA from 1 species